GCCCGCAGGUUCCAGCCCCGACCCGGGCGCGCGGGGCCGACUAGGGUCGGGUCCAGUGUGCGGUGGUCGCUCCGCUCCGGGCCGCUCCGCUCUGGGCGUCAGGGCGCGGGGAGCUGCCCCGGGGUUCUGUCCACCGGGGAGGAAAGCCACGAGCACUGAGCGCCUCCUGAGAGCCAGCCCUGACGUGAACUCAUUUUAUCUGCCACGACCCAGAAGGGAAACAGAUCCAGAUGGAGGAAACAUCUGAUAAAGUUUGCCUAAGCAGCCAGCAGUC
rnacentral:lncRNA from 1 species